UUUAUGGAGAGUUUGAUCCUGGCUCAGGAUGAACGCUGGCGGCGUGCCUAAUACAUGCAAGUCGAGCGAACAGAUAAGGAGCUUGCUCUUUUGACGUUAGCGGCGGACGGGUGAGUAACACGUGGGUAACCUACCUAUAAGACUGGAAUAACUCCGGGAAACCGGGGCUAAUGCCGGAUAACAUGUUGAACCGCAUGGUUCUAUAGUGAAAGACGGU
rnacentral:rRNA from 1 species